GCAAAGACUGGUUAAGGUUUUAAUAAUUUUUUAAAUAAUAAUUUUCAUAAUAAAAGUUUAAAGUUACAUACUGUAUCUUACAGAAAUAAAGAAAUAUAAUUUGUAUUCAGAAUGGUGCUACUUAUUUAUAAAUAAUGGGGGAAUUUUACCAUCCUUUUCAGCUAAACUUCUUAAGGGAAUUGUAUCCUGUACCUCUUACUUUUUUAAAUCCCAAGUGACUUUCUAAAGAACUCCUUUUUUUGUUUCUCUUAUUUUCAGCACGGAUGAUUAACACAUUUAAAAAACUAUUUCCAAAUCAAAAUCUACCUCUCUAAUGUGAUUUGUCAGAAAUGGAAAACAAUUUAUUAUGGAGCAUUUUUAAUUAAAUCUUAAUUACAUGUGCAAUACAUCACCCAAAUUUAGAAGCUCAUUUGAACUAAUGAUGUUGAAAAUGCAAUUGCAUGCUAACGAGACGACCACACUUGCAGACCUUCCCAGGUGUUUCUGCUCCUUUCUAUUUAAGCAUUUAGUCUCCUUACUAUUAAAUGUCACCUGUUAAACAUUUGAAAUCUUGUGCAAGUGUAUAAUCAUUUAGUAAUGCCAUAGUAAUUUUUCUUGUGAUACAAACAGGUGUUUUUCUCUUAACCUUGGUAAGAGUUGUUUCCAUUUUAUGGUACAUGUAAGCUCAUCAUUUUCAGAGGUUAAAUAAAGGAGAAUAAAGUUUGGGGAAAAUACCUUUUAAUGAAUGAGUACUCCUUUUGAGAUCAGACGAGAUCAAGUGUGUUCAGGAUGGGAUGGCAUAGACUGAAUGAAUACUCCUUUAUCAUAUUUUUAGAAACUAAAAAUGAACUGUGCCUAUCCCUACAUCUGGGUACCCUGUAGUGGGUACAUUGUUGUAUAGUGGUUUAUGAGUUAGAAGUUUAUAUAUAGUUCCUUAUUUUCCUUUGCCACAGAUUAUAAUACAGAUGUACUAUAAUACAGAUGUUCCAGAAGGAAAGAUUUGAUAUCAUUAGAUUGGAAUGACAUCAAAGUGUGUGAAAUAGUGACAGUAUGCUCAGAAUGCUAAUUCUGAUAAUUUAUGCAUCAAAUCUAAAGAUAAAUACAAACAAUAAUGGUCCACAGCACAUGUUAAAAGCAUGCGUGCACUGGGUUUUUUUUUUUUUUUUCUCCCAGAGAUAGGUCCAGGGGAAAGGCUUAUUGCUGGACAUACGGUGGCUAUCCAGUGGAACAAAUUGUAGAGACAGAGAGAGGGUGAUCCCUUUUCUCUCCAUCAUAAAGGGUACAACUGGUACCCCCUAUAUUAAAAGACAAGUUACCAAGAAAUAGGUUAACAAUUUUGCUUAAUCGCAGUUAUGGAUGGUACGAGAGCUUUCACAAAAAAGACUUACAGAUGUAGGAGAAACCAUCUGGUUUUAUGUCUAGGUUUGAAGAAGCAGGGCCAGGCAGGCAUGUAGCAAUACGGCUGAACAAAGCAUGUGUGACCUAAUUGUGACACAGUGAAUGGAGGAGGGCUCACCUGAUUAGGUCCUUCUUGCAUCUGUGUUGUAGCAUUUCUUCCUCCUGAGUGUAGAGCGGGACCUCUCUGGAUUGGGAGUUUUAAAACCUCCUAUGGGGUAGGUCAUAGAAUUUCUUUAUAGCCAGCUCCUAGGAAGAAAGGCAGGGGAAAUUUAGAGUAAUAUGUUUAGAGUUUACGACUUGGUUUGGGGAAAAGAAGUUCUGGUUUUUAUGACCUGUCUUAGAGAAGAAUAAUUCUGUUUUUGUGAUUUGCUUUAGGGGAGAACAAGAGGUAAGAGACAAAAGGAGAGGAAAAAGAAACCUUGGGUUCAAGACUGCCUUGGGUUCAAGACAGUCUCUUGUGCUUUAGCUCAAAGUACACGGCAUGCCAACACUCUAGACUUUGAGGUCAUUGCCUAACCCCUCCCCGAUUAUGUUGUCCUUUUUUCCACUUCUCUCUGCUGCAAGCACACAUACUUCAUGUGCACAUUUUCCUCUCUGCUAAUAGGACCAUGAAGACCUGAAGCUAAUGAUGGCUGAGUAGAACGCUAUUGAUCAUAAACUGAGACCAACUGAAUGUGAGACAGGUAGAAGAAUUGUGCCAGUAAACAUUAUUUUACAUUAUAAAGACCUUCAGGGUAUUCAGUUAUUCUUGCAGCUCUAUUUCCAGUGUUUAUCAUUAGGAAUUAAUACUAAGUGUUUUCACCAUUUGAGUGCAAGAGAUGGUAUUCAGACGAUGUAGAUAUGUGAAAUACAUGAUACAGUUCCUUCUAUAGAGAAGCUAAAAAUAUAAAGACAAAUAUGUAAACAUAUCCUUUGCAAUGUUUCUAGAAAUCAAAUAAGGCAGCAACUAAUGAUUGUAGAAGUUAAGGAAAAUACUGGUAAUAAAUGGCUGGCAUCCAGCUUCUUUCAUAAUGUGCUACAUAGGAUUGUGGUGAUGAGUAAAAUGUAAAGGUAGUAUUGCAUUUUUAAAACUCUUUGUGUGGUUUUCUUGGGUCCAAGAGAAGAUGCAUCAGUUGUGAGAGGAAAACUCUGUGGUAUUUUUAAAAUUAUAGAUUAUAAUGAGCAAGUAUCUUUUGCAGAGUGAGAGUUCCAGUCUACUUUCUCAUAAGUUCUUCUGUUUUUCAGUUCACACCAGGGCAGUUACUGUGGGCGUGAUAAACAAAACUAUAUAUGUAAAUUUAAUUUGCCAAAUUUUUAGCCAGAAAAACAAUGCAUUUUGCUAGCAUUCCUUUACAUAGCAAAUGUUCUCAUUAAGAAAAAGUUUAAAUAACAGAAACAGGAAAAAUUGGGGAGGUGGAGGCAGAUGGGAGUUUCAUUUGGUGAUUGCUGUUGACCCCCCUUGACUUAACUGCUGAAUUGACAGUCAUUCUGGCUUGAAGGUGCAUUCCCAGAAUAAAUAAUACAUAUUCAUGGCUUGAUUAUUAAUGAGUAAUCUAUGAAUAAGUAUGGUCUAUUUAUGCUUAUUACUGUGAACAAGACUUAUUUAUAAUACUUUAAAGAAAAAAAAGAUAUGUUUUAAAACUAGAAACCAGUGGUGAUGAGCUGCUUUUUGAGCAAGUCUUUGGGUAAAAUUUCAUGAAGCUUAUUUUUAUUAACUGAAAACCUUAUGAAGAUUAGAUAUAUUUCACCAGAUUUUAAGAACUUUUUAGCAGUUUGUAUUCAAAAUAGCAGAGAAACAUUAAAUUGGAAUAAAGAGAACAUAAAACUCUUAAUCAGUUGUCAUGAUUCUACUGCAGCCAUAGAUUUGUAAUUUGCAAUGUGGGGUAAUGCUCAGGCAUAUCACUACUUACUAAAAUCUUAUCUGUUAUAAUUACUCUUUUCUUUUGUAAUAUAGUUCUCCAAAGUCUUGGAUAUUUCUUUGCCUGCCUGCCUGUUUGUGUUUUAAAGUUUAAUCACAUCAUACUGUCCAAAAGGAUGCAGAUAUUAUAAAAAGAAGGUGGUAUACAUCUUAUCAAGUAAAGAAGAAAGAAUAUAAGUGUAUUGGGCAAAUAAUCCACUCAGAGGGAAAAUACACAAUGUAAGAACCUCAACAAAGAAAAAUAAUUCUUACUAGUAUAGUAUGAUUAUUGUCUUUACUGUGUUUUCAAAUUCUAACAUUAAAUCUGUCUGAAGUUUUCUACUCUAUUAAUGUUGGCUUUCUAAUGAUUGAAUGGAUAGCAGUGUAAAUUCUUUGGAGAGGAAAGGUUCAUACAUGAGAGUAAAGAGCAAAAGGAAUGUCAAGUCACUUUAAGUGAAAUACGAAAAAGAAGUGCAGAUUAGAAUGCUUCACCCCAAUAGUGAAGCCCGCAAAGAGAUAAGAUCUCUAAAUCUUCUAAUUCUGAGAGUUUAUAUGUUCACUUUUAAAGUCAGCAACUACUUUUAGUUAUAAAAUUAGGUAUUUUUUUAAUUAUCUGAAAUGCUGUAUCUUUUUAUAUUGCUAGCUUAUAAAUGAGAAACUGCAAAACUACUUGUUUACUGUCAGGUAAGGUCAAAUGUUAAUGUCAUCAUGUUUUCCAGAGGUAGUUUGCCCCUACUAUAGGUAAAAUACUGUUAGUCACUGGAACUUAGUUCAAGAAUAAAGGAGGAUUAUGUUUAUGCAGUGUAUUUUUUAUAGUUAGAAGAGUCAUUCAGUUAACUCUUAUUAAAUGUUUUUAUGUGCCUGAUGUUGUACUCAGUACUGCAUACUCCAAGGAUCUGUUUCGGUUGCCACAAGAGUUGAGAUAACUUUUAAACUCCAUAUGCAGGGGAUAUAGCUCAGUGGCACGAAUGCCUGCCUCUUAAGUGCAAGGUUGUAAGUUCAAUCCCAGGUACACAAAACAAAACAAAACAAAACAAAACAAAGCAACCCCCCCAACUCUGUAUAAAAAAUAAUAAGGAAAUUAUGUUUAUGAGAAAGAUAAUGGGUAGGAAAUAGAUGAUGUUAGAGCUUCGUUCAUUGUUGUUGGAGAUAUGUCAUCAUUUAGCACACAUUGUCUAUCUUUGAAAUAGGUCCAGAAUCUGAGUAUUUUAUCUGCAAAUUUGGGACUGUCAUUUGGAUCUGUUGCACUGUCUUCUCUUUCUUGAAUGUUGCAGUGGUAUUUUGAUGGUUUUUACUCCUGUUACUCUCAAUCUUUGUACAAAAUCCACAGUCAUCCUGGUGAAACACAAACUUCUGAUGACUGAGAAUUCCGUCUCUCUCAAAAGCCAAGUCUUGAUAGUGAUGUAUGUUAUGUGAACUGCUGUCCUGCCUCUCUGGUCUGCUCAUUUCUCCCUCCUCUCACACUCUUCCAUCACCUUCCAUACUGCUGUUUCACUCUUGGCAACGUCCCCCGUACUAAAGUGCCUGGUGUUCCUGUUGCCUGAAAUGCCCUGCCCUACUCCACACGUGCUCUCAUUUCCUUCACACAGAUCCCCACACGAGGCUCCGCUGACACAUUUCCUGUUGGCCUUCCGUGCUUUGAUUUCCCUGAUGGCAGCUUUCAUUCCUUACUAUGCUAUUUAUUUUACUCAUUUCUUUGUUUCUAGUCUCCAGCACUAACCAAAGUAAGCUUUGCGUGCUGAGAGCAGGGAUUUCGUUUCUUCGGUGCUGAGGCUGCUGCCUGGGUCAUAGUGGAAACCCGGUAAACACUUGGCUGAGUGAGUGACUGAUGAUUGUUUAAUGCAGACUGCAGCUUAGCUAAUACAAGUAGCAAAGGAAACAGUUGUGAGAACUACUGUUUGCAGUGAAGAAGAUCCAGGAGAGGGAUCACAGCCUCAGAAACUGAAGAAAAGAGUGCGUAACUGUGUGAGAUGUCACAGAUAAGUCAUGUGAUACAUGUGGUGACAGAGCAGUUAAAAGGAGAGUGCAUUUAGGGCGAGCGGAACGCACACUGCAGUGGAUUAAAACUAAAUGGGUGUUCAAGUGUAAGUAAAAUGUGUGGGCAGUGGGGUUAUUUGCAGUAUUUAACUCUGUAGUAAUUGAAUUUUGUUGUUUUUUAAAUGUGAGGUAGCUGAGAUUUAACUUGUAUCUUAAUACUUUUGAGCUGCUUUGAUCUUUGCCAACUUUCAUGUAUUACUGACUUUUGGAACCAUGAAGCAGCAUUGUAAGUAUUGUUCAGUCUGCCUGUUAGAGCUGAGGAAAUGCUGAGACUUAAGUAAGUGUGCUGUACCAGGUCACUGCUAGAAAGUAAUAGAACACGGGAAAAAAAGAGGAGGGAAGGAAAAGGAAA